ensembl:lncRNA GBA1LP glucosylceramidase beta 1 like, pseudogene
GCUUUUCUCGCGGCACGGGUGGUGGGGCUGCUUCUUGACUUCCGCGCCUAGUGCGCAGGGCCCCAUUCUCCAGUCCCGCCCACGCGCCUUUGGAGGCUGCGGUGGGAUUUCCUUUUGCCUUCGGUUGGGGCUGCUGUUUCUCUUCGCCGACGUGGAUCCUCUAUCCUUCAGAGACUCUGGAACCCCUGUGCUCUUCUCCUCAUCUAGUGACCCUGAGGUGAUGGAGUUUUCAAGUCCUUCCAGAGAGGAAUGUCCCAAGCCUUCGGGUAGGGUAAGCAUCAUGGCUGGCAGCCUCACAGGAUUGCUUCUACUUCAGGCAGUGUCGUGGGCAUCAGAUGAGUGCCUUCAGCCGCUACAAGAGCAGAAGCAGUGGGCAUUGGAUGGAGCUGAGUACAGGACCAUACAGGCUAAUUGCACCGGCACAGGAAUCGGAUAUAACAUCAUCUGGGUACCCAUGGCCAGCUGUGACUUCUCCAUCCGCACCUACACCUAUGCAGACACCCCUGAUGAUUUCCAGUUGCACAACUUCAGCCUCCCAGAGGAAGAUACCAAGCUCAAGAUACCCCUGAUUCACCGAGCCCUGCAGUUGGCCCAGCGUCCCGUUUCACUCCUUGCCAGCCCCUGGACAUCACCCACUCGGCUCAAGACCAGGGGAGCGGGGAAUGGGAAGGGGCCACUCAAGGGACAGCCCAGAGACAUCUACCACCAGACCUGGGCCAGAUACAUUGUGAAGUUCCUGGAUGCCUAUGCUGAGCACAAGUUACAGUUCUGGGCAGUGACAGCUGAAAAUGAGCCUUCUGCUGGGCUGUUGAGUGGAUACCCCUUCCAGUGCCUGGGCUUCACCCCUGAACAUCAGCGAGACUUCAUUGCCCGUGACCUAGGUCCUACCCUUGCCAACGGUACUCACCACAAUGUCCGCCUACUCAUGCUGGAUGACCAACGCUUGCUGCUGCCCCACUGGGCAAAGGUGGUACUGACAGACCCAGAAGCAGCUAAGUAUGUUCAUGGUAUUGCUGUACAUUGGUACCUGGACUUUCUGGCUCCAGCCAAAGCCACCCUAAGGGAGACACACCACCUGUUCCCCAACACCAUGCUCUUUGCCUCAGAGGCCUGUGUGGGUUCCAAGUUCUGGGAGCAGAGUGUGCGGCUAGGCUCCUGGGAUCGAGGGAUGCAGUACAGCCACAGCAUCAUCACAAACCUCCUGUACCAUGUGGUCGGCUGGACCGACUGGAACCCAUCAUUGUAGACAUCACCAAGCACACGUUUUACAAACAGCCCAUGUUCUACCACCUUGGCCACUUCAGCAAGUUCAUUCCUGAGGGCUCCCAGAGAGUGGGGCUGGUUGCCAGUCAGAAGAACGACCCGGACGCAGUGGCACUGAUGCAUCCCGAUGGCUCUGCUGUUGUGGUCGUGCUAAACCGCUCCUCUAAGGAUGUGCCUCUUACCAUCAAGGAUCCUGCUGUGGGCUUCCUGGAGACAAUCUCACCUGGCUACUCCAUUCACACCUACCUGUGGCGUCGCCAGUGAUGGAGCAGAUACUCAAGGAGGCACUGGGCUCAGCCUGGGCAUUAAAGGGACAGAGUCAGCUCACACGCUGUCUGUGACUAAAGAGGGCACAGCAGGGCCAGUGUGAGCUUACAGCGACGUAAGCCCAGGGGCAAUGGUUUGGGUGACUCACUUUCCCCUCUAGGUGGUGCCAGGGGCUGGAGGCCCCUAGAAAAAGAUCAGUAAGCCCCAGUGUCCCCCCAGCCCCCAUGCUUAUGUGAACAUGCGCUGUGUGCUGCUUGCUUUGGAAACUGGGCCUGGGUCCAGGCCUAGGGUGAGCUCACUGUCCGUACAAACACAAGAUCAGGGCUGAGGGUAAGGAAAAGAAGAGACUAGGAAAGCUGGGCCCAAAACUGGAGACUGUUUGUCUUUCCUGGAGAUGCAGAACUGGGCCCGUGGAGCAGCAGUGUCAGCAUCAGGGCGGAAGCCUUAAAGCAGCAGCGGGUGUGCCCAGGCACCCAGAUGAUUCCUAUGGCACCAGCCAGGAAAAAUGGCAGCUCUUAAAGGAGAAAAUGUUUGAGCCCA